rnacentral:rRNA from 1 species
UACGUAGGGUCCGAGCGUUGUCCGGAAUUAUUGGGCGUAAAGAGCUCGUAGGCGGCUUGUCACGUCGGGUGUGAAAGCCCGGGGCUUAACCCCGGGUCUGCAUUCGAUACGGGCUAGCUAGAGUGUGGUAGGGGAGAUCGGAAUUCCUGGUGUAGCGGUGAAAUGCGCAGAUAUCAGGAGGAACACCGGUGGCGAAGGCGGAUCUCUGGGCCGAUACUGACGCUGAGGAGCGAAAGCGUGGGGAGCGAACAGG